rnacentral:rRNA from 1 species
CCGCGAAAGCUAUUUAGGUAGCGCGUCAGGUGAUUACCCACGGGGGUAGAGCACUGUUUCGGCUAGGGGGUCAUCCCGACUUACCAAACCGAUGCAAACUCCGAAUACCGUGGAGUACAGCCUGGCAGACACACGGCGGGUGCUAACGUCCGUCGUGAAAAGGGAAACAACCCAGACCGCCAGCUAAGGUCCCCAAUACUGGUUAAGUGGGAAACGAUGUGGGAAGGCACAGACAGCUAGGAGGUUGGCUUAGAAGCAGCCAUCCUUUAAAGAAAGCGUAAUAGCUCACUAGUCGAGUCGGCCUGCGCGGAAGAUUUAACGGGGCUCAAACCAGUAACCGAAGCUGCGGGUGCUCACGCUUGCGUGGGCGCGGUAGCGGAGCGUUCCGUAGGCCAUUGAAGGAGAAUCGGGGAGGUUCUCUGGAGGUAUCGGAAGUGCGAAUGCUGACAUGAGUAACGACAAGGGAGGUGAAAAACCUCCCGCCGGAAGACCAAGGGUUCCUGCGCAACGGUAAUCGGCGCAGGGUGAGUCGGCCCUAAGGCGAGGGCGAGAGCCGUAG